rnacentral:lncRNA from 1 species
GGACAAUUACUGUGUGGGUCAGUGCAACAGGCCAAGGCCCCCUCUCACUGGGUCUCAGAGCUCUGUUCAGUACAGUAAGGUGGGGACAAGGUGGCCUCCUAGGGAUCUUCCUGCUGACUGUGGGUGCUGGGAGGCCCGGAGCGGCCUAUUCACCAACUCAGGCCCAGGGUGGAGCAGAGAAUGACUCAAGGCUACCCCAGCCUCUUUCUCAGACCAAGUACUGAGUGGGGCCUGACUGCGGGGUCUGUCUGGAUAGCCGGGCCAGCCUCCAAGCGGCAAGGCACCAUCCAGAAGAAGUACCUUCAUGGACUCCACU